GACGAACGCUGGCGGCGGGCUUAACACAUGCAAGUCGAACGGAAAGGCCCUGCUUUUGUGGGGUGCUCGAGUGGCGAACGGGUGAGUAUCACGUGAGUAACCUGCCCUUGACUUUCGGAGAACUUCAGGUAACUGGGGCUAAUACCGGAUAGGAGCUCCUGCAGCAUGGUGGGGGUUGGAAAGUUUCGGCGGGUGGGGAUGGACUCGCGGCUUAUCAGCUUGUUGGUGGGGUAGUGGCUUACCAAGGCUGUGACGGGUAGCCGGCCUGAGAGGGUGACCGGCCACAUUGGGACUGAGAUACGGCCCAGACUCCUACGGGAGGCAGCAGUGGGGAAGAUUGCACAAUGGGCGGAAGCCUGAUGCAGCAACGCCGCGUGCGGGAUGACGGCCUUCGGGUUGUAAACCGCUUUCGCCUGUGACGAAGCGUGAGUGACGGUAAUGGGUAAAGAAGCACCGGCUAACUACGUG
rnacentral:rRNA from 1 species